UACAGAGGUCUCAAGCGUUGUUCGGAUUCAUUGGGCGUAAAGGGUGCGUAGGCGGCGCGGUAAGUCGGGUGUGAAAUCUCGGGGCUCAACCCCGGGAUGCCGCUCGAAACUGGCGUGCUUGAGGACGGAAGAGGGGAGUGGAAUUCCUGGUGUAGCGGUGAAAUGCGUAGAGAUCAGGAGGAACACCCGUGGCGAAGGCGGCUCCCUGGUCCGUUACUGACGCUGAGACGCGAAAGCGCGGGGAGCGAACGGG
rnacentral:rRNA from 1 species